AGAGUUUGAUCCUGGCUCAGAAUAAACGCUGGCGGCGUGCCUAACACAUGCAAGUCGAGCGAGAAAGCUUCUUCGGAAGUGAGUACAGCGGCGAACGGGUGAGUUACGCGUGAGAAUCUACCUUUUAGUGAAGAAUACCCCUGAGAAAUCGGGGUUAAUACUGCAUAAGUCCCUUCGGGGAGAAAGAUGGCCUCUUUGCU
rnacentral:rRNA from 1 species